GGGAUUGCCCCAGUAACGGCGAGUGAAGCGGCAUGAGCUCAAAUUUGAAAUCUGGGGCCCUCGGCCCCCGAGUUGUAAUUUGGAGAGGCAUCUUCGGRGGGGAGCGCCGGCCCAUGUUCCUUGGAACAGGACGUCGCAGAGGGUGAGAAUCCCGUGCCAGGCCGGCAGCCUCCCCUCGMGUGAAGGGCCUUCGACGAGUCGAGUUGUUUGGGAAUGCAGCUCCAAGUGGGUGGUAUAUUUCAUCUAAAGCUAAAUACCGGCGGGAGACCGAUAGCGCACAAGUAGAGUGAUCGAAAGAUGAAAAGCACUUUGAAAAUAGAGUCAAAAAGUACGUGAAAUUGUUGAAAGGGAAGCGCUUGAGACCAGACUCAGACCCGAGCAAACACCGCGCCCCUCGGGGCCGUGCAAUUGCCAGGGGCUGGGCCAGCAUCAGUUGGCGUGGCGGGACAAAGGCGCGGGCAAUGUGGCUCCCCUCGGGGAGUGUUAUUAGGCCCACGCUCAAUGCCGCCGACGUCGACUGAGGACCGCGCCUCGGCUAGGAUGCUGGCUUAAUGGCCUUCAGCGACCCGUCUUGAAACACGGA
rnacentral:rRNA from 1 species